CCGUACUUAGACGGAUAGUGAUAGUAAUUUUACUAUUUCUAAUUUUAAGUAUGAUGUUGUGUUUGCAUAUUGGUCUAGGAAACUAGACUAGAGUAAAAACCUUUGAUUUUUACUCAUUUCACUUCCUGUAUAU
rnacentral:sRNA from 1 species